AAUUCGCUGUUAUUGUAGUGAGGAAUUCUCCCCGAUUUCGAUAGGAAUUCUUCUUACAGGAAUAGGAGACUAUAAACUGUUCGCCUUGAAUCUCGAAUUCGUAAAUAAUUCUUAGAGAAUUCACUGUGAUUUCUCUCUUUCACGCUGGUAUUGUAUUUUAAAGUAAUUUUAGCUGCCACAUUCAAAUCUUUCCUCAUGGGAAGGAGACGUCUUUUUCAGUUGAGUGCUCGCCACAAAAGAAGACUUGUAAAAAAACCAAGUGAAAUUUUCGAGGAAAAUUUAAAUAGUGACCUAGUCCAGGCCGAAGGGGAAAACAUUUAUUCAGAACAAGUGUUCGAGGAAGAUCUGGAAGAAAUUGAAGUCGGAAGUAACACGAGUGAAGUAAGUUCAGCUGAAACAAUUAGCUCAGAGAGUGAAGGUGAAAUUGAUACUUUUGAUAUAAGACAUAGUAUCCAAAAUUAGUCCAAGAUUGAAAAAUUGAAAUCUGCUGGUGGAUUUGAGGUGGCUACCGUGGUCGAGAGCAUUCUCAGGAAGCUGAUGACCGAUGAUUUGCAAGCUAAGUAGAGUCUUUACGGAGAAAAGGGAAAGAACUCUUUAGUGAAAGUUAAGGGGUUAAGACAACUCAUUAAAGGUAUUUUAGCAUCUAAUUAAACAACAAUCUAAAGCAUUAAAAAAUAUGUUAAUCUCAGAUGCGGUAGCAGCUCACCCUAGGACUCCAAAUUAUCCAGACGAGGGCACAGUUGACGAGGAAAUUCAAAAAUCCCUUAAGAAAGUCGCAGAUAGAGUUGGGAAGCGUAUGAGGAAGUGACUUGACUUCGCGGCCAAUUUCACUACCCGGUUCAUCUGAUUAUUCAACUUAUAUUUAUUUUAAUAAAAAGUUAUUUAUAUUGCAUAAUAUUUAGAAGAAGUAAAAUAAACUAUAAACGGAAUUAUGUAA